UCGAGAGCGCUCUGCCAGCUCGCAGGCCAGGUAGGGGGACGGGACUGCCCUGUGUCCGGGCCAGCCGGAAAACCACCUAAGAGUUCAAGAGCAGCGCGUGUCUCGCCAGCGUGGCUUAAACAUUAGCGCGGAGGAAAAAAAAAUAAAAAAUUACCAUGUCAAAUAGGAGAUGCAACACAUCAACUCACAAAUUCAAGGAGUGGAAGGAGGCCCACUGUGGCUAAGGAGCAGAGGGCAGAAGUCAAUGGACUGAGCAGGGGAGGAUCUUGGGCAUUAAUAGAAGCAUCAUAUUCUGCCGGGAGCGAAAGCUAUCUACGGAAGCCAAAGCUAUCUAGUGAAGACAAAGGUAUCUACAGAAGCCAAAAUCAAUUAGUGAGCCAAGGUUAUCUACAGAAGCCAAAGUCAAAGCUAUCUAGUGGAGACAAAGGUAGUUACUGAAGCCAAAGCCAAGUAGAGAGCAAAGGUCAUUUAGUGGAGACCUAAAGCUAUGUAGUAAAAGAGUUAUCUAGACCCUAAAUCAUGGGUGAUAGAUUGUGAGGACAUCCUUUGUUAGAGCAUCUGUAAGAUAUCUUAAGAGAACAUCCUUAUGGUAUCUUGCAGGUACAAUAGUUAAUCCAUGAAAGCACUCUUCCUAUUUUCUGCAGCAGUAGAUUAACCUUCCCCCUUUCUUGCCUUCUCCCUAUAUAAGUUGGGUAAAAAUUUCUAAUAAACGGA